rnacentral:rRNA from 1 species
UACAGAGGGGGGCCAGCGUUAUUCGGAAUUAUUGGGCGUAAAGGGCGCGUAGGCGGCUUUGCGUGUCUUUCGUGAAAUCCCUCGGCUCAACUGAGGACGUGCGGAAGAAACUGCAGGGCUGGAGUCCGGGAGAGGAGGGUGGAAUUCCCAGUGUAGCGGUGAAAUGCGUAGAUAUUGGGAGGAACACCAGUGGCGAAGGCGGCUCACUGGACCGGUACUGACGCUGAAGCGCGAAAAGCGUGGGGAGCAAACGGGG